GAUGAACGCUGGCGGCGUGCCUAAUACAUGCAAGUCGAGCGAACGGACGAGAAGCUUGCUUCUCUGAUGUUAGCGGCGGACGGGUGAGUAACACGUGGAUAACCUACCUAUAAGACUUGGAUAACUUCGGGAAACCGUAGCUAAUACCGGAUAAUAUUUUGAACCGCAUGGUUCAAAAGUGAAAGACGGUCUUGCUGUCACUUAUAGAUGGAUCCGCGCUGCAUUAGCUAGUUGGUAAGGUAACGGCUUACCAAGGCAACGAUGCAUAGCCGACCUGAGAGGGGGAUCGGCCACACUGGAACUGAGACACGGUCCAGACUCCUACGGGAGGCAGCAGUAGGGAAUCUUCCGCAAUGGGCGAAAGCCUGACGGAGCAACGCCGCGUGAGUGAUGAAGGUCUUCGGAUCGUAAAACUCUGUUAUUAGGGAAGAACAUAUGUGUAAGUAACUGUGCACAUCUUGACGGUACCUAAUCAGAAAGCCACGGCUAACUACGUG
rnacentral:rRNA from 1 species